GUAAGGCAAAAAGCUAUGGGCAAAGAAACCUGAACUGCUGCUCUGGGAGAUAAAACUGUGCCGCGUUGUCAAAAAUGUUCUGCCCUUUUUCCUGAAAUUACGCUGUAUAAAGUUACUGGAUUUCCAGCUCUGGGAACUGAACUUUUCCUUCAGGAGUAUUACUACUAGCUCUUAUAGACAUAAUCAACAGAAGCCUUCAGCCCAGCAGGCAGGUGUCACAGUAGCAGUUCGUUUACAAGGUUGAUAAGCACAUGGGUAGGAUGGCAUGAAGUUAUGGAGUUGCUAAUCCAGUCUUUUAUCUUGUGUUCGCAAUUAUAAUGUCAAGAUUGAAUAAUCUGCCUUUAUCUCCAGGGCGACAGCUAUGUAGAAACAUCAAAAGGGGCAGUUUUUUUGCCAGCAUCUAAAAACACUUGUUAAUUGCUACCUAUUGAGGCAAAGUCAAAUAAAGUGGGAUGAAAAACAGUAUUUCUCUUUGAC
rnacentral:lncRNA from 1 species